GUCUCUGGUUGGUGAUCCCUCUCUUGUGGAGUUUUCCCCGUGAGCCUGCAUCUUCAGAGAUGGAUCUGCACUGUGGGUCUUGCCUUCUGCCUUGCUGAUGAGAGAGCAUUGCAUGUUUGAGGAGGCAGGUCCUUCUCCCUGAACCACGCUCCAUGCAGGCCUGAGGGAAGCACGCUCUCUGAGCUGAGUUGCUCUGCUGGAAGACAGCUGGUGUGUUUCCCAAAUGAGGGUAUGCCAUGCAUUAGCAUCACAUGGGUCUGUGCGCCUUUCAACUGCAGUCAUGAGAGUAAGAAGAAGAGUUUUGAGAUAUUUAUAUGAGCGUUUUACGCAGUCUCACAAGUGUAACAAAAUAAAAGGAGUAAUUCCCACAGCUGGUUUUGUAGCUCUGGUGUAUGAAGCUGUAUGAUGCCUUCUUUUUUCUGCUCAUCACUGGCUGCUUGUGACCGUCAUCAGCCCAGGUGAAUUUUUGUUUGUGUGAGAACUGUAUAUGUGACCAAAAACAAAGUUGCAGAAAAACUUACAAUCUUUUAUCUUGCACUGAGAUGCAAAAUAAGCUUUCAUUUUUUCCUGUUACAUCAGAUGUUUUGGGACUGACUUUGUUCAAAUGCAACUUUAAAGAGCUAUGGAGAGAAAAUGCGGCACCAAAGCACAAGGACAAGUUUAGACUACAACUGUAGGCUUUUGUCAUACAACUCUGAGAACAGUGCUCUGUCUCAUUGUAUUUUUUUCACUUUGCUGAGGCAAAGCUGCUGAUCCUUGCUGCCUACCCCUUGUCCCUUUUUCCCUCCCAGCAAACUGGGUUGGUUUUUUUUUUGGUGAAAGUGUGGUUUUAUACACUCCUGAAAUGAAAAGAGAGACAGCAGGUAGCACCAAGCAGCAAAUUGGAAUGAGUCUAUUUUGUCAUCUUCCUGUUCUCUUAAAUGACAGAAGUUCAGUCUUGAGAAUCCAUAGCUUUUAAAAUUAUGCCUGUGAGGAAAUCUUUUUUUUUUGAGAUUUUUACUGUUUCCGCUUACUGUAACCAGGUAUUUUCACCACGAGUAGAACAUAAGUGCAUUUACUCUGUGACUGAUUCUUCUACUUUAAAACAAGCCCUAAUUUUUCAUUAUUCCAGAUGCUCUUCCUCCUACAAUGUUUGCACACUGCGUACUGCAUGUCUGAGUUUGACCCAUUGGUAAUGGUGAUGGUGGCUGCUCUUGUUAUUGUGGUCCUGCUAAAUCAACGGAUAUUAAUUAAGUUAAACAGCACGAGUAGAAUGAAAGUGAACAGAAAAUGUACUGAAAAUACAGUUCUGAGCUCCCAGCUGCACCAAUGAAAGCUGAAGUAGGCACUUUAUCUGCUAGGUUACAGUCUCUGGUUAUCAUCCAUGGGAAAUUAAAGGUAUUAUUUUUAC
ensembl:lncRNA